UCGUAACAAGGUUUCCGUAGGUGAACCUGCGGAAGGAUCAUUACUGAGUGAGGGCCCUCUGGGUCCAACCUCCCACCCGUGUUUAUUGUACCUUGUUGCUUCGGUGCGCCCGCCUCACGGCCGCCGGGGGGCUUCUGCCCCCGGGUCCGCGCGCACCGGAGACACUAUUGAACUCUGUCUGAAGAUUGCAGUCUGAGCAUAAACUAAAUAAGUUAAAACUUUCAACAACGGAUCUCUUGGUUCCGGCAUCGAUGAAGAACGCAGCGAAAUGCGAUAACUAAUGUGAAUUGCAGAAUUCAGUGAAUCAUCGAGUCUUUGAACGCACAUUGCGCCCCCUGGUAUUCCGGGGGGCAUGCCUGUCCGAGCGUCAUUGCUGCCCUCAAGCACGGCUUGUGUGUUGGGCUCCGUCCCCCCGGGGACGGGUCCGAAAGGCAGCGGCGGCACCGAGUCCGGUCCUCGAGCGUAUGGGGCUUUGUCACCCGCUCUGUAGGCCCGGCCGGCGCCAGCCGACAACCAAUCAUCCUUUUUUCAGGUUGACCUCGGAUCAGGUAGGGAUACCCGCUGAACUUAAGCAUAUCAAUAA
rnacentral:misc_RNA from 1 species